GGGCCCGCACAAGCGGUGGAGCAUGUGGUUUAAUUCGAUGCAACGCGAAGAACCUUACCAGGGCUUGACAUACUACGAAUUCUUUUGAAAGAAAGAAGUGCCUUCGGGAAUGUAGAUACAGGUGGUGCAUGGCUGUCGUCAGCUCGUGUCGUGAGAUGUUGGGUUAAGUCCCGCAACGAGCGCAACCCUUAUUUUUAGUUACCAAUUCGUUGGGUUCUCUAGAAAGACUGCCGGUGACAAACCGGAGGAAGGUGAGGAUGACGUCAAGUCAGCAUGCCCCUUAUGUCCUGGGCUACACACGUGCUACAAUGGUUAAGACAAAGAGUCGCGAGCUUGCAAAAGUCAGCUAA
rnacentral:rRNA from 1 species